CCUGGUGGCUCAGAGGUUAAAGCAUCUGCCUGCAAUCCAGGAGACCUGGGUUCGAUCCCUGGGUCAGGA
rnacentral:tRNA from 1 species